UUAGUAGCGGCGAGCGAACAGGGAAGAGCCCAGCACUGAAUCGCGCGGCCCACAGGGACGUUGCGAAAUGUAGUGUUUGGGAGGGUCCACAAGUCUGUAGUUUAACGAUGCGUCCAAGUCCUUCUUGAACGGGGCCAUUUACCCAUAGAGGGUGCCAGGCCCGUAGCGACCAUUGUUAAUUGCGGACGGAUCUCUCCUUAGAGUCGGGUUGCUUGAGAGUGCAGCCCUAAGUGGGUGGUAAACUCCAUCUAAGGCUAAAUAUAACCACGAGACCGAUAGCGAACAAGUACCGUGAGGGAAAGUUGAAAAGAACUUUGAAGAGAGAGUUCAAUAGUACGUGAAACCGUUUAGGGGUAAACCUGAGAAACCCGAAAGUUCGAACGAGGAGAUUCAGUGUGUUUCGGAUGGUGCGAGUGCCGUUUGGAGACUGUUCUGUUGCUCGCAACAGUCGCUCCUUUCGUGCGCCGUUUCUGUUCGAACUCGUGCACUUCUCCUCCAGUAGGACGCCGCGACCCGUUGGGUGUCGGUCUGAGGCUUGCAGUGGAGCCCGUUCGUCGUUUACGGCGUUCGGACCUGUGAUGUCCCGUCCGGCUGCUCGACGGUAUAAGAAAGGCGCAGAGCGGCGACUAGCUCGCGUUCGGCCCGAUACAAGCACGGCCGGUUACUCGAUCGUCGGACAUGUGCCGAUCUCGGGGCCGGUUGACUGUUGGUGUCGGUGUUCCCGAACAGACUCUGUUCACGCCUGUCAGCGGCGCUAUAGCUUUGGGUACUUUCAGGGCCCGUCUUGAAACACGGACCAAGGAGUCUAGCAUAUGCGCGAGUCACUGGGACUAUCGAAUCCUAAAGGCGAAAUGAAAGUAAAGGUUAAGCUUGCUUGACCUAGGGAAGACGGGUGAUCUUUUUCGCUCUGCACUCCCGGGGCGUCUCGUUCUCAUUGCGAGAUGAGGCGCACCUAGAGCGCAUAUGCUGGGACCCGAAAGAUGGUGAACUAUGCCUGGUCAGGAC
rnacentral:rRNA from 1 species